CAUUGUUGAAACCGGAUAAAAAAUAGAGAGACCCGUGAACUGUUGAACGAUUCUCUUCAUAUGGCCAGUGCUGACGGGACGAUCAGCCCGUGGGCAUGUUGGUCGCAACUAAACUCAACGGCGCGGCAUGCGCCAAGGAAUCGAGAAAGGGAAACGCUCGUCUUAGACGACGGUGUUGGUUUUCCAUAAAUUUUUGAACGACUCUCGGCAACGGAUAUCUCGGCUCUUGCAUCGAUGAAGAACGUAGCGAAAUGCGAUACUUGGUGUGAAUUGCAGAAUCCCGUGAACCAUCGAGUUUUUGAACGCAAGUUGCGCCCAAGGCCACUCGGUCGAGGGCACGUCUGCCUGGGCGUCACACAGAUGCCACUCCCACCCCUUGCAGUGAGAGUGAAUGCUGGCCUCCCGCGGCUCUCUUUGCGGUUGGCUGAAAUGCUUAUUGUUGCUCCACUUGGCGACACGAUCGACGGUGGUUGGGGUUAAAGCUUUGAUCGUGAUUGGCGACGUGAUCGUCGAAAGUAGGAGCGGAAGGAAGGAACCCCCAAAAGUUUCUGACGAAACACAUGCUACGACCCCAGG
rnacentral:rRNA from 1 species